rnacentral:rRNA from 1 species
AUUGAACGCUGGCGGCAGGCCUAACACAUGCAAGUCGAGCGGAUGAAGGGAGCUUGCUCCUGGAUUCAGCGGCGGACGGGUGAGUAAUGCCUAGGAAUCUGCCUGGUAGUGGGGGAUAACGUCCGGAAACGGGCGCUAAUACCGCAUACGUCCUGAGGGAGAAAGUGGGGGAUCUUCGGACCUCACGCUAUCAGAUGAGCCUAGGUCGGAUUAGCUAGUUGGUGGGGUAAAGGCCUACCAAGGCGACGAUCCGUAACUGGUCUGAGAGGAUGAUCAGUCACACUGGAACUGAGACACGGACCAGACUCCUACGGGAGGCAGCAGUGGGGAAUAUUGGACAAUGGGCGAAAGCCUGAUCCAGCCAUGCCGCGUGUGUGAAGAAGGUCUUCGGAUUGUAAAGCACUUUAAGGUGGGAGGAAGGGCAGUAAGUUAAUACCUUGCUGUUUUGACGUUACCAACAGAAUAAGCACCGGCUAACUUCGUG